rnacentral:rRNA from 11 species
CACUAAGACCUAAAUACCCUACAAGCAGUAGAUCCUGUCUGAUCUUGGAAGCUCAGCAGGUUCAGCUCUGAUUAGGACUUGAAUGAGAGAUCACCAAUGAAUAUCAGGUGCUGUAGGCU